AUCGAACGCUGGCGGCAGGCUUAACACAUGCAAGUCGAGCGGGGGGAGGUAGCUUGCUACCUAACCUAGCGGCGGACGGGUGAGUAAUGCUUAGGAAUCUGCCUAUUAGUGGGGGACAACAUUUCGAAAGGGAUGCUAAUACCGCAUACGCCCUAAGGGGGAAAACAGGGGAUCCUCGGACCUUGCGCUAAUAGAUGAGCCUAAGUCGGAUUAGCUAGUUGGUGGGGUAAAGGCCUACCAAGGCGACGAUCUGUAGCGGGUCUGAGAGGAUGAUCCGCCACACUGGGACUGAGACACGGCCCAGACUCCUACGGGAGGCAGCAGUGGGGAAUAUUGGACAAUGGGGGGAACCCUGAUCCAGCCAUGCCGCGUGUGUGAAGAAGGCCUUUUGGUUGUAAAGCACUUUAAGCGAGGAGGAGGCUACCGAGAUUAAUACUCUUGGAUAGUGGACGUUACUCGCAGAAUAAGCACCGGCUAACUCUGUGCCAGCAGCCCGCCGUAAGAC
rnacentral:rRNA from 1 species